rnacentral:siRNA from 1 species
AUGUUGAUGGGUUUGCAUUAU